UACGUAGGUGGCAAGCGUUGUCCGGAUUUACUGGGCGUAAAGGAUGCGUAGGCGGACAUUUUAAGUCAGAUGUGAAAUACCCGAGCUUAACUUGGGUGCUGCAUUUGAAACUGGGUGUCUAGAGUGUAGGAGAGGUAAGUGGAAUUCCUAGUGUAGCGGUGAAAUGCGUAGAGAUUAGGAAGAACACCAGUGGCGAAGGCGACUUACUGGACUGUAACUGACGCUGAGGCAUGAAAAGCGUGGGGGAGCAAACAGG
rnacentral:rRNA from 1 species